UAUAAUGAUUCUGCCAGUAGUCAUAUGCUUGUCUCAAAGAUUAAGCCAUGCAUGUCUAAGUAUAAGCAACUAUACCGUGAAACUGCGAAUGGCUCAUUAAAUCAGUUAUCGUUUAUUUGAUAGUACCUUACUACUUGGAUAACCGUGGUAAUUCUAGAGCUAAUACAUGCUGAAAACCUCGACUCCGGAAGGGGUGUAUUUAUUAGAUAAAAAGCCAAUGCCCUUCGGGGCUUUCUGGUGAUUCAUAAUAACUUAACGAAUCGCAUGGCCUUGCGCCGGCGAUGGUUCAUUCAAAUUUCUGCCCUAUCAACUUUCGAUUGUUGGGUAGUGGCCAACAAUGGUGUUUACGGGUAACGGGGAAUUAGGGUUCUAUUCCGGAGAGGGAGCCUGAGAAACGGCUACCACAUCCAAGGAAGGCAGCAGGCGCGCAAAUUAUCCAAUUCCGACACGGAGAGAUAGUGACAAUAAAUAUUAAUCCAGGGAUCUUUAGGUUCUUGGAAUUGAAAUGAGUACAAUUUAAAUCCCUUAACGAGGAACAAUUGGAGGGCAAGUCUGGUGCCAGCAGCCGCGGUAAUUCCAGCUCCAAUAGCGUAUAUUAAAUUUGUUGCAGUUAAAAAGCUCGUCGUUGAAACUUGGAUCUGGUCGGUCGGUCCGCCUCACCGCGUGCACUGAUUCGACCGGAUCUUUCCUUCUGGGGAAGCGCAUGCCCUUUAUUGGGCGUGUCGGGGAACCAGGACUUUUACUUUGAAAAAAUUAGAGUGUUCAAAGCAGGCCUAUGCUCGAAUACAUUAGCAUGGAAUAAUAGAAUAGGACGUGUGGUUCUAUUUUGUUGGUUUCUAGGACCGCCGUAAUGAUUAAUAGGGAUAGUCGGGGGCAUCAGUAUUCCGUUGUCAGAGGUGAAAUUCUUGGAUUUACGGAAGACUAACUACUGCGAAAGCAUUUGCCAAGGAUGUUUUCAUUAAUCAGUGAACGAAAGUUAGGGGAUCGAAGACGAUCAGAUACCGUCGUAGUCUUAACCAUAAACUAUGCCGACUAGGGAUCGGGCGGUGUUAUUAUUUUGACCCGCUCGGCACCUUACGAGAAAUCAAAGUUUUUGGGUUCUGGGGGGAGUAUGGUCGCAAGGCUGAAACUUAAAGAAAUUGACGGAAAGGCACCACCAGGCGUAACGUUUUAACGUACAACAUGGCAUCAGCUACAGUACUCUGCGCCCGACAGCUUCUCGAAAGAGUGGUGGUUUGUCCUUGUCAAUAGCUAGUCUCACUUUCCCGAGUCUGUCGGGGAAGCGUGGCAACACCCUUAAAUUGCGGGAAACCUCUAACGCUCUUGCUUCCAAGUUCAUGUCGAAAGAUAGUGAAUGGCCAGGUUAAUUGCCUCGGGUAUGGACAAAAUGCAAUGAGAUGCUACAAUGAGCAAUCCGCAGCCAA
rnacentral:rRNA from 1 species